rnacentral:snRNA from 1 species
AGCUUCUAUCAACAUUAUUCAGGGCCUUACCCAAGACCCGGUGUACAAUUUUUGGAAACCCUGUCCGGUUUUAUAGGGCAGGGUU